UAGCAGGUAUCAGUAGAGCAUUUAACAGCAGUGCCCUGGCCCGGAGGAGGUGAGGGCAUGGGGCUGUGUCUUGUUUUCUCCUCUGGCUCUAGUCCCCAUCUCCCUGGGUGCCUCCAAUCCCUCUGCGGUUUCCUGCCCCUCCUGCCCGUCUCUCCCCCACCUUAAAAAGCCUUAAAAAGGUCAGGUAGCAAAGGGGCUGUGGUAACAGGAGAGCUUAAAGAGCUUUAUUUUUCAAAAAUAGCUCAGUGUAAUUCCUGCUGGGGUUUGAGCUCCCAAUUCAUUCAGCAGGGAGGGGAACAUCCCCUGGGGGGCCAGCAGUGCUGCUGGGCUUGGGCUGCAGAAGCCCUGGCUCCCUGGCCCAGUUCAUUUUCAUGAAGCUGUAACUGAAUCUAAAAUCACACUUCUGGGAAUCCAGCACCAAUGUUAUAUGAAUGUAUUAAAGGUUAAACAUUGGAAGGAAUUGCAGAGUCAGGCUCCAAGGCAAUCAAUGCGUACAUCAAAAAAUCAGCAGCUCAGCACACAGCCAGGUGAAGACACCAGGUGCAGAGAGGAAAGCCAGCACAAUGCCUUCCAUCCCGAUCCUCCUGCACCGAAGAGUGGUGCUUGGAGCAGAGCAGGUGGGGUGUACCUGUACAGCAAUGCCUGUCUGCCCAUCGCUUUCAUCACCCGUGUUGGGUUGCUACAUGCUCAUCUCUAGGGCUCCAGACUUUCGGAAACCUCCUCUAGGGGCAGAAGUGUGUCCCCCCCCCCCCCCCCCCCCCCCCAUAUCUCACCUGUUGGCAAUGUUUCCUAUGAGGAGCUCAGUGCUCUGGGGACUAGGAAUAUGUAGGGUCAAUUUAGGAUUUUGGGACAGUAUAGAAAGUGCUAGUAGUACCUUCUAAGUCAAUACCUGUUGGACUAAAUCCUUCCCUGUUCUAGCACCUAAAUCUGCCUGGCUUGGCAAUGCUGCUUUUGGCCUGCUGUGGCCCAUGUCAUGCCAUUCAGUGCAGGCUGGAAACUUUUCCUGUGCUCCAGGGGACAAGCUGAGGGAUGCCUUUGCUUCAGAGAUGAUGAUUUGAGCUCUUCGUUGCCCCUUAUUGAGUAUCUUGGGCCAGAGUUUGUGGACGGGUAAAAUAAAUAAAUACACCAGUAAGGAGGUAUGAGGAAAAGCCCCAGUAUCUAAUCGGAUGUUUUGCCAAUCAGGAUGGCUCCGUGAGCACUUUAUUCCUUCCGCUUCUGCGCUAAGGUUGGCUGUGAUGGGCUGCCCCGUGCUUCACGCAGCAGCAGAGCCUGGAACUGAGGCUUCCCCUCGGUGUGCCCAAGCUUCUGACACCCAAAGCCUUGGGUGGAAACUUGCUCAUGUCUAGAUGUUUGCAGCAGGCGAUGCUCUUAGAAGAACAGCUAAUUGCAUAUUCAUAGUGGCACAUACGGCACUUGAGAGCAGCCCUUAAUUUCUGCUGUGGCGGAUCUGGAAAUUCACCUCUUGCAAUGCUCAGUGUGGACCAAGAGGAGCUUUUUGGCCCUUCUUCCUGUGAGAAAGACCUGCUAAUUUAUUCAGUUUGGGCACAUUAUUUUUUUUUAAACAAAAGAGCAUGAUAUAGCUCUAUAUACCAGUUGGAAGCAACAUGAUUUGUCAUGAAUACUAAUAUGCGUUUGACAGUAUCCUAUAAAUUCAACACGUUUUGAGGAGCGUUAACAAGAGUUAUAGGAACUGUACUUAAGAUUUUCUUUAUUUCCCCCAAUUAAAAGAAAAGGAAGCUAGCAAGAGUCUGUAUUUGUACCCAAAACAAAUAUGGCUUGGGUCACGGCAAGACUUCUGCCUGCCGUGCUAGGCCUGGGUCUACAGCACGUUCAUUGAUUUUUGUCUCCAUGAAUCACCCUAAAGCUAUAGGCAACAAAAGCUGAAGCUAUGUAGAUCUGAUUUCUCGUUCAUUUGUUGUUCAUUAGAAAGAUUUUCUCUCUUAUUUGCUGCACCCCUGCUGCUGCAUGUUCAUUAGGAGAAUGGAAUGUAUUCCAAAUAUUUCCUAGCUCUGGGAGGGCAGAUGGUGGAAAGUAAUUUUCCAAACUCUUCUAAAAGAGAGGGGGAAAAAACCCUCCUCAAUAACCCCAAGUCACCCCUGCACGCUAGAAGAAUGAGGGAUUUCUGAGUGCAGACCUGCCAUGCACUUUCUUCGGUUGUACAAUGCUGCGUGUCAGAGUGGUGGGAAGUGUGCAUGAAUGGGGAUGUAUCACACUGUGUGGGGGAUGCUCGCACGGCUGGGAUUUCUUUCACAGGAAGCCACAUCUACAAGGAGCACACAGCAACACGCUGCCCUGAAGGAUGUGCACGGAGGAGCGAGCAAAACUCAUUUCCCUAAAGCUUCCGGGCAGCCCAACGCCUGCAGGAACCCCCGGGGGGAGGUUGGCUGGGCCAGCCCCGCCGGAGGUGUGGGGUGAGCUGGAAGUGCCCCAGACACCCCGUCCCUGUCCCCUGCCCUCGCAGCGCCGGCAGGAGGAUGUCGGAGUGCUCAGACAAUGGUGGAGGAAGCUGCUCUGGCUGCAUUUCCCUUCUGCUCCUUGGAGAAUCGGGGGAGCGCACAGGCGAGGGCCGGAUUUAGCUCUUGGAUCCACAUGAAACGUCCCCGUGCCGCCUGCUCCCUUCCUUCAUGCUCGGCCUCUUGGCAUGGGAGUGGAAGCAGCGUGCAUGAGGGGAACAGAGGAGCAGAGGCACCGUGCAGCAGGCAGAGCCGCAAACACAAUGCGGGCGAAACAAAGAGCGGGGCUGUGUUUACUGCCUCCCCGCUGCCAUUCACGUCUGCUUGGAGCUGGUUUCCUCUUUUCAUGAGCCUCUUGACCUGCAGAUCCCUCUCCUCAGCAGCCCCGGAGCCCCGCGCCUAGAUCUGGCUGCCUCUUCAGACCGAGCCAGCAAAACACAUCGGACACAAAGAGCCCAGGCUGUGUGUUCACCUCGAGGCUUUAAGCUCCUUGUGCUGGCCCCUGGGGCUCGUGUUUGUUUUCCAAGCCCUGAGGACAGCAGUGGUGCUCAGGAAGUCCAGACAGAGGCAGCGCCUGAAGGCUGCGGGCCCCAGGCCUGCUCUGUUCCAUGGAAGGUGCCCCAGGCUCUGUCGGCGAGGGCCAGCAGCCCCAAAACCUCACACACAAGCCUGGUGAAGUGAGGAACUUGUGCAGGAGCCUACCAGAAGAAGGGCGGCAUUGUUUGCCCUGGCUGAGACGCCCAGUUCCAGAACAACAGCUUUGGAGAGAGGUGCUUUGACUGUGAAACCCCAAAGGGUUUUAUAGCACGCUGUUUGUGGUUAAUUUUCAAGCCCCCUCUUUCUCCAGGCCCAGCUUGCGUUACAGCGAGCGUGGGGCCUCCCACCGCGUUCAUCUCCUCAGCCGGGCCUUGGGGCGCAGAUGUGCGAAGCAGCAGCUCGAGGGCAGGCUUCAGAAAAGGCACCCCGAAGGGCAUGAGGCAGGGAACCUCCGGGCCUGCUUUCCGCAGCCAGCACAACCUGCGAUCCUGCUGCUCGGUGAGCUGGCAGCACAAAGGGGGGGAAUUCCUCGGGUGUGCCAUGCCCUGCCCUGCAGGAGCUGGGCAGCCUGAGGUGAUCCUGCUGCUGCUCGGAGCCUAAGCACAUCCAACACCCUCCUGUGCCUUUCACAACCCGACAGAGUUUUAAACUUCUCCAUCAGCUGGCCGAUAGCCUUCAGAGAUGAGCAGUGGCUGUAAUUGAUUCAUCAAGGCUCCCGUUAAUUUGUUUUUACUCAAUUGUGGAAACGGAGUUGAUUCCCAGUUAUCGUGCUCUGGAGUCAAGCUUCCUUUAGGUAAUUUACAGCGUAGCCUACAUAUGUGUAAAAAUUUAUCGCCAUCGUGUUUUUAAUUAAAACGCGUAUGGUAAUACGAAAAGGAGAGAGGGGGAGGAAGGGAGAGAACCCAGAUUAAGUUUUUAAUUGUUUUAAUAGUGAGAGUUGGUUCAGUGAGAACAGGGCAUAUUGGUUUCCUUGGAAACAUUGGCGAUGUAUUAGCUGUAUAAAAUCGAGCAUAAAAAAUUUGCAAAAGUGAAGCCUUUAGGUUUUAACUGAUAUUAUAACUAUUUUCAUUUGGAAAAUUGGCUUCACACAUGGCCCUUGGAGUCCCCAAAAGGGGCCAUUUCUCUGUUUUCUCCAGAGCCUCAGGAUUCACCAUUUCACAGGUCACCAUUAGAAAUCUAAAAUGGCAAUAACAACAAAAAGCCUUCAACAAGACAAUAUCCUUGAUUCAUACAAUUUAAUUACAUGUGCCCCUAAGUUCUCUUUGUGGCGAGCAGUACGAGGCUAGGCGAGACACCACAUGAUUUGAGGAUGAAGUAUAACAAUUCGUUUUUUUUCGUAUUCCAGUAAAAAUAAAGAUUAUUAGUAACAUAGCAGUAUGUGAUGCUGCAUCCGCACCCCGUGCUUUUUUAUCGUAUAUAACAUUUUUCCAUUAAUAUACUACACGCCGUGGCCAGCUUCAAGUUAAGUAGCUUGCUUAGCCUAGCCUGGCCUCGCCUCACGCAGUGCGUUCGAUGCCUCUCGUUUUCCUGGCGCAGCUCUCAGGAAACGCGGUGCUGCAGGACAGGAUGCAGCGCCCGAGGUCUGGGGCCACCACGGCCCCGAGGCACCUGGAGGCACACGGCUGCACUUCAGCGUUGUCCUCACCCCAAGUUCAACCGUUUUAUUUUUGUUCCCUUUAAAGCUCAAGUUCUCAGUUCUGUGUUGGAAAGCAAAGGCUUGUGCGGGAGCACCCAGCUCUCUGCAGCCGGGUGAGAUGGGAACGACCAACGUGGGUGCGGGUGGCUCAGCCCAGGCUGUGAGGAGGUGGUAAGGCUGGGGCAAAAAUACUCCAGGAGGUCAUUUAAACAAAAGGGGGGGGGGGAGGGGCGGGAAGGCCUGCAGAUAAAGGCCCA